AAAGUUCACAGUGGUCGAGGGAAAAGUGUAAUAUAUUCAACGAAAAUUGUAACCAACUCCUGACAGUCGAAACAACAUAAUUCAAGGUCCGUUCGACAAAAAAAAGAAACCUAUUCCUUCAGCAAAGCGCCAAAUAAUCUAUUAGGUUUGGAAUAACACACAUCCUGCGAUGGCAAAUAGACAAGGAUGCCGUGGCAAAAACGUUAAAUUGAAGACAAAAACAGCUCGAAUAAGUGAAGAGCAACAGUAACAAAUAAAAAAGGAGCGAGGACGAUGAGGCGACAGGAACGACAUGUCAACAUCGAAAUGGAAAAGAGCCGAGUUGAGGACAAGAAAAACACAUCCCACUACAGGCGUUCUGUGGCAUUCGGACAAGAAAUCUAAAAAGAAAAACACACGAGACACAAGUAAAAACUGUUCGCUCCGCUCGAGAACAACACGUCGUAUACGCUACGCUCCAGUUGGGCCUGAAUCCAAAAGUUCUGGAGAGAUUUGCGCGACAAGCCAGGAGCAAAAUUAGUUCUGUGCUGCCAAAAGUGUGGCAAAAAGUUUGGUCAGAACGAAAUGGGCAGACAGACAGCCUCUUGAGCUGGCACAGAUACGUUCACUGAUCCAACUCGAUUCCAAUGCGAAUCCAAUAUCCGUGCAAAUGUACACAAAAAUGUCCGGGGAGUGCAGGCCUUGGAGCUCUUUUGGGGCUUUUUAUGCUCUUCCCCUGUUGUCAUCCGGUUCAGAUACACGGCGGAUGAGAUAAAGGAAUUUUAGCAAUUCGAUUGGCCAAUAAAAACAUUCUGACAAGGUAAUUCACAGACCAA